rnacentral:rRNA from 1 species
CCAGACUCCUACGGGAGGCAGCAGUGAGGAAUAUUGGUCAAUGGGCUUACGCCUGAACCAGCCAAGUCGCGUGAGGGAAGACUGCCCUAUGGGUUGUAAACCUCUUUUGUCAGGGAGCAACGCCGGCUACGUGUAGCCGGACUGAGAGUACCUGAAGAAAAAGCAUCGGCUAACUCCGUGCCAGCAGCCGCGGUAAUACGGAGGAUGCGAGCGUUAUCCGGAUUUAUUGGGUUUAAAGGGUGCGUAGGCGGAAUGCCAAGUCAGCGGUAAAAUCGCGGGGCUCAACCUCGCUCCGCCGUUGAAACUGGCGUUCUUGAGUGGGCGAGAAGUAUGCGGAAUGCGUGGUGUAGCGGUGAAAUGCAUAGAUAUCAUGAAGAACUCCGAUCGCGAAGGCAAGUGUCCGGGGUGCAACUGACGCUGAGGCUCGAAAGUGCGGGUAUCAAACAGGAUUAGAUACCCGAGUA